rnacentral:rRNA from 1 species
AUACGGAGGGUACAAGCGUUAUCCGGAUUUAUUGGGUUUAAAGGGUGCGUAGGCGGUUUGAUAAGUCAGCGGUGAAAUAUUUCAGCUUAACUGGAAGGGUGCCGUUGAUACUGUCGAGCUUGAAUUUAGUUGCUGUGGGUGGAAUGUGUGGUGUAGCGGUGAAAUGCAUAGAUAUCACACAGAAUAUCGAUUGCGAAGGCAGCUCACAAAGCUAAUAUUGACGCUGAUGCACGAAAGUGUGGGGAUCAAACAGGAUUAGAUACCCUGGUAGUCCACACUGUAAACGAUGAUAACUCGCUGUCGGCGAUACAUAGUCGGUGGCCAAGCGAAAGCGAUAAGUUAUCCACCUGGGGAGUACGACCGCAAGGUUGAAACUCAAAUGAAUUGGCGGGG